rfam:Pristionchus pacificus strain PS312 contig11611, whole genome shotgun sequence.
UCUUCAUUUCACACACUAUCUCAUCGGUCAGAGAGGCGAGAGAGUGUGCGAAAUGAAGAGA